GACGAACGCUGGCGGCGUGCUUAACACAUGCAAGUCGAACGCUGAAGCUCAGCUUUUGUUGGGUGGAUGAGUGGCGAACGGGUGAGUAACACGUGAGUAACCUGCCCCCUUCUUUGGGAUAACGCCCGGAAGCGGGUGCUAAUACUGGAUAUUCACUGGUCUUCGCAUGGGGGUUGGUGGAAAGGGUUUUUCUGGUGGGGGAUGGGCUCGCGGCCUAUCAGCUUGUUGGUGGGGUGAUGGCCUACCAAGGCUUUGACGGGUAGCCGGCCUGAGAGGGUGACCGGUCACAUUGGGACUGAGAUACGGCCCAGACUCCUACGGGAGGCAGCAGUGGGGAAUAUUGCACAAUGGGCGAAAGACUGAUGCAGCGACGCCGCGUGAGGGAUGGAGGCCUUCGGGUUGUGAACCUCUUUCGCUAAUGGUCAAGCCGCAACAAUGGUUGUGGUGAGGGUAGUGGGUAAAGAAGCGCCGGCUAACUACGUG
rnacentral:rRNA from 1 species